rnacentral:rRNA from 1 species
AUUGAACGCUGGCGGCAUGCCUUACACAUGCAAGUCGAACGGUAACAGGUCUUCGGAUGCUGACGAGUGGCGAACGGGUGAGUAAUACAUCGGAACGUGCCCGAUCGUGGGGGAUAACGCAGCGAAAGCUUUGCUAAUACCGCAUAAGAUCUACGGAUGAAAGCAGGGGACCGCAAGGCCUUGCGCGAACGGAGCGGCCGAUGGCAGAUUAGGUAGUUGGUGGGAUAAAAGCUUACCAAGCCGACGAUCUGUAGCUGGUCUGAGAGGACGACCAGCCACAAUGGGACUGAGACCCGACCCAGACUCCUACGAGAGGCAGCAGUGGGGAAUUUUGGACAAUGGGCGAAAGCCUGAUCCAGCCAUGCCGCGUGCAGGAUGAAGGCCUUCGGGUUGUAUACUGCUUUUGUACGGAACGAAAAGACUCUGGUUAAUACCUAGGGUCCAGGACGGUACCGUAAGAAUAAGCACCGGCUAACGACGUG